GGCGGGUUAUCCUGGUUCGCAACUUGCCUUUAAAGGCCGAAGAACUUAGGGUUAUCGGUUGUAUCUCCACCAUUCUGGGGAUAGCGGGUUCAAUUCCCGCACCCGCCU
rnacentral:tRNA from 1 species